GGGCCCGCACAAGCGGUGGAGUAUGUGGUUUAAUUCGAUGCAACGCGAAGAACCUUACCAGGGUUUGACAUCCUGCGAAUCUCUUGGAAACGAGAGAGUGCCUUCGGGAGCGCAGUGACAGGUGGUGCAUGGCUGUCGUCAGCUCGUGUCGUGAGAUGUUGGGUUAAGUCCCGCAACGAGCGCAACCCACGUCUUUAGUUGCCAGCAUUUAGUUGGGCACUCUAGAGAGACCGCCGGUGAUAAACCGGAGGAAGGUGUGGAUGACGUCAAGUCAUCAUGCCCCUUACAUCCUGGGCUACACACGUACUACAAUGCUACGGACAAAGAGCAGCAAGUUCGCGAGGACAAGCAAAUCUCAUAAACCGUGGCUCAGUUCAGAUCGUAGGCUGCAACUCGCCUACGUG
rnacentral:rRNA from 1 species